AGUGUAAUGAGGUGCGCCAGAAGCUUCGUCGCCUGAGUCUGCACGUCACGUCUCCGUCUCUCCUGGGCCAGGUGUGGCAGGUGUGUGAUGAGCUGGAGGAGAGCAGGAUGAGGACCGGCGACAUGUGGGGACUCUUCCACUUGGGACGUCACUGCUUUCUGCCGGUGACGAGCCUACUGGCGACCUACUUCGUCAUUCUGGUGCAGUUCCACGCCUCCGAGGUGGUCACAGACUGCAUCCGGCCCUUUGCGAACUCGACCAUGGAGACCUCGACAUAUGAAUGAAGCUCUAGUCUCCUCGUAGUGGAUUAGACCAGCAUGCCAGCACAGAGGAGGGACUGUUGGAGUAAGUGAUGGGGAGAAAGGACGUGGAUUACAGGGAAAACAGUGAAAGGUAUACCAAUUCACAGAGAAGAAGAGGAAAAAAAGAAGAAAGAAGAAAGAAGAAGAAAGAAGAAGAAGAAAGAAGAAGAAGAAGAAGAAGAAAUGAUAGUGAUGAUAAUGAGAAGAGGGAAAAAAAGUAGGUAAGGAAGAAGAAAAAAAAAAAAAACCUCCAACACUCACAACAGUAGCAAAACGAAUAACAAUGACAAGAACAACAACUAAUAACAGCAACAAAUAAAAACACUACUACUACUACUACUAAUAAUAAUAAUAAUAAUAAUAAUAAUAAUAAUAAUAAUAGUUACAAAAUUAAGAUGAGCCCCAAAUUUGUGGUUUAUGAUAUAGUUAACUCCCUUCCCCUCCUCCCCUUCUUUCCUCUUUC